UACGUAGGGUGCGAGCGUUAAUCGGAAUUACUGGGCGUAAAGCGUGCGCAGGCGGUUGUGCAAGACAGGGGUGAAAUCCCCGGGCUCAACCUGGGAACUGCAUUUGUGACUGCACGGCUGGAGUGCGGCAGAGGGGGAUGGAAUUCCGCGUGUAGCAGUGAAAUGCGUAGAUAUGCGGAGGAACACCGAUGGCGAAGGCAAUCCCCUGGGCCUGCACUGACGCUCAUGCACGAAAGCGUGGGGAGCAAACAGG
rnacentral:rRNA from 1 species